GAUGAACGCUAGCGGCAGGCUUAAUACAUGCAAGUCGAGGGGCAGCAUGAAUGUAGCAAUACAUUUGAUGGCGACCGGCAAACGGGCGCGGAACACGUACACAACCUUCCUAUAAGUGGGGGAUAGCCCAGAGAAAUUUGGAUUAAUACCCCGUAACAUAAUGAUGUGGCAUCACAUUAUUAUUAUAGCUACGGCGCUUGUUGAUGGGUGUGCGGCUGAUUAGAUAGUUGGCGGGGUAACGGCCCACCAAGUCUACGAUCAGUAGCUGAUGGGAGAGCAUGAUCAGCCACACGGGCACUGAGACACGGGCCCGACUCCUACGGGAGGCAGCAGCAAGGAAUAUUGGUCAAUGGACGCAAGUCUGAACCAGCCAUGCCGCGUGAAGGAUUAAGGUCCUCUGGAUUGUAAACUUCUUUUAUCUGGGACGAAAAAAGGCUAUUCUUAGUCACUUGACGGUACCAGAUGAAUAAGCACCGGCUAACUCCGUGCCAGCCGCCGCCGUAAUAC
rnacentral:rRNA from 1 species